UACGUAGGGGGCUAGCGUUGUCCGGAAUCAUUGGGCGUAAAGAGCGUGUAGGCGGCCCGGUAAGUCCGCUGUGAAAGUCGGGGGCUCAACCCUCGAAUGCCGGUGGAUACUGUCGGGCUAGAGUGCGGAAGAGGCGAGUGGAAUUCCUGGUGUAGCGGUGAAAUGCGCAGAUAUCAGGAGGAACACCGAUGGCGAAGGCAGCUCGCUGGGACGGUACUGACGCUGGAGGCGACGAAAGCGUGGGGAGCAAACAGG
rnacentral:rRNA from 1 species